UCCUUGCGAAUGGCGCUCCCACAACAAUUCAGAGUCGUGUGUUCGUUCGCCGCGCUAUCCACGUCACCCCGAAAGCCACAAGCAGCCGGAAUUUGCGAGUGAGCGUACGUGGGGAGCAUCGGCUCUGGUCAUUUUGCAAAAAAAAAAAAAAGCCAUUGAUGUAACUAAUAAUUUGUAUAGGUCCCUCAUCAUUCGUUCCUCACUUUUGUAUUCUUACGCACCGACCUUCUAAAAUGUAAAAUAUUUUAUGGUAAGAAGGGAAAAUUAGGAAAAUAUAACCGCGCUUUGGAAAACAUAAAUAUUUUAUGUCAGAUGUGCGUCAAUCGUGCCAAUACUGAGGCCUGGGAGAUCUACUUAGCUCCAGUAUAGGACCGUAGAUCUUAAUUUGAUGAGGUACGGGCAUACCAGUUAGUUUGAUCCUACAAGAUGUUGAUAUAUCAGCGAUUAGCCGAUAGGUUGAAUGAUCGGUUGUUGGAGACUUGGAGACUCGAAUGCUGACGACGAUCGCAGGCUCGAAUCUCAAGUGUUUUGGCAUGCCGAUAGCUAAUAGCCGAUGGCUUGGUGUAGAAUCGGCUGAAGGAUCCAGUGCUAGUACUAAUGCUGAACGCCUUUGGUUGUUGACAUGAAAAAAAAAUUAACACAGUAAUGUAAGGGAUGCAACUAAGCGAACAAAAUGUGAGUUGUUAAACGAAAAUGUAAGGGAACCCAUGAGAAAAUAAGUUGCGAGAGCAAUUGACAGGACGCAGGGCUUUCUGUAUCAUCCCUCUGCAAACAUUUACAUUAGGCCCUUAAGUCAAUUGGAAGGCGUCAAUUUUGUACCAUGCAUCUCACAAUUAUUGUUUUGAGCUUCGAUUUGUUUCAACCUAGAUUUUCAAUCUUAUAUGGAAAUGUAGGAAAAGAUAUCAUCAUAGAUCUAUGCAUUAUGCCUGAAGUCAAUAGAUCACAUUAUUUUAAUGAGCCACACAAUUCUCAGUAUUCCAAUGCAAUUCAGCCUCAAGACAAAAAAAAAGUCAGCUCACAGUCAGGCUUAUAUUAAAACCCAUAUCAGAUGGAUCAGUAAUGAUUUGUGUAGAAUAUCUGUCAGCGUAAGAUUUCAUCUCGUACGCACGAGCGCCUGUGUCGCUGGCUGGCUAAAAUCCAUCUCCAGCAAGCGGCAGCAGUACCAUCACGCAAAGACGCACCUUGGAGAUUAUGUAUACCAUACAUCCAUACAAACAAUUUAUCCGACUAAAAAUAGGAGGAGGUGCGCCAUAUCCAUGUGUUACGUUAAUAGAAUAACAGCAUGUGGGGUUCGAGACAAGAAAAGCAUUUUCCUAUGUCACAAUAUAAAAUUUGCAAGCAUGUAAUAUUUCUAUAAGCGAACAAACUUUAAAAACCGAUCCAAACGCGGAUGGCGUACCACAAUACUGGUAAAAACAUAUUUAAUUUUAAAAUCAUUAGUAGAGAUUACGACGAAAACGUUUUGUUCUUUUUGUUUUUUUAAGGCAUUUUUUCUUUUUUUUAUUUUUCUUGUUUUUUCGCCCUUUUUAUUUUUUGGAUGGACUUUUUUCACGGAUUUUUUUGGUUUUUUCGACUGCCUUUUUUAAACCUUUUUACGUAUUUUAGGCCUUUUUUUUUACUUUUUAUAUAAAUCAUUGCAUACAAAUCCCGAUUUUUUUUCCUUACGAACGACUUGUUUUCAUCGUUUUAGGGGAAUCAGACUUUUCUUUUGGUGGACUUUUUUCACCUUUUUUUUCAUUUUUUAUGGACGGUUUUUUCACCCUUUUUACGGGGAAUCGGAAUCGGAUUUGUUCGCCCUUUUUUUUAAUUACGGGCGACAAACACGUUCCCAAUUAAUUCGCGUGGAUGAAAAUAUAAAAUUAAAACCGAUUUAAACAUGGAUGACGUACCAAAAUUCUAACAAAAACAUCUUUAAUUUUUAUCUCUACCUCUAUCUCUACUACUUAAAAAAUUGAAGAUGUUUCCUUCAUCUGUCCAAAUAAAAAAAAAGCGAAAAAACAACCUAAAAUAAAAAAGUAUGAUUCUCCUAAGAAGUGGCAGAAAAAAAACCGUAGAUCCGAUUCCCCUAUAAUUUUUGUCCAUUUUAUUUUCUUUUUGCGUUUCUUACUCUUUUUUUUUUCUUUCACCGUUUUUUCCUUUUCCUUUUCUCUUUCACCAUUUUUUUAUUUGCCUCCCCAUAUGUUUCCUCCUCCAAUUCAUUGUAAAAACCGAUUCCUCACUACUCAUUAUUUUCCCCUUGAAUUCCCCUUUCAAUUUGGCUUUAAUUCACCGAAUUGAAUCUCCAUUUCAUCGUCAUUAUUUUUUAUCUCGAGUUUUGUGGAUUGCUUCAAUUUUGAUAAAAAACGGAAAAAAGAGAUCGAUUAGAUCAAAAUCUCUCAACAAUUUUGAUUUGAUGGAGAGGAUCAACUCCAUUAUCAUACGUGCACAGGUUAUGCGAGAACAAUUUUGGAGAUGGAGAAAGAUUCAACUGGAUUUGAAGGAGAGGAUCGGCUCCAUCAUCGUACGGGCACGGGACUAUGCGAGAUUGAGUGGAUUACCAGAUUUUAUGGGAGGAUCGGCUCCGUCAUGGUACGGGACUAUGUGAGCUCGAGCGGAUUACCGGAUUUGAUGGGAGGAUCAGCUCCGUAAUGGUAUGGGUACGAGACUGUUCGAGCUGGGCCUAUAGCUCCACUUAUGGGUUGAGCCGAAGAGAGGUAGACCAAGCAGAGGGAAGGAAUGAGCGUUCGGUCCAAAACCAAGAAAGCAUCUGGUCCAAAACCAAGGAACCAAGGGAGUAUAAUGUAUAGGAUAAUAAACGUUUUUACCCGUUGCAACUCACGGGCAUUUUUUCUAUUAUACUCUCCGUUUCUAAAUAUUUGACGCCGUUAACUUUUUUAAAUAUGUUUGACCGUUCGUCUUAUUCAAUAAAUUUAAGUAAUUAUUAAUUCUUUUCCUAUCAUUUGAUUCAUUGUUAAAUAUACUUAUAUGUAUACAUAUAGUUUUACAUAUUUCACAAAAGUUUUUGAAUAAGACGAACAGUGAAAUAUGUGUUAAAAAGUCAACGGUAUCAAAUAUUUAGAAACGGAGGGAGUAAUAUAAUAGUAGAGAUAAGCCAGCCAAAACUUGUGCACUAACUUACUGAUUGGAUUCAGAUGCAGUAACAAAGUUUACUAGGCAAAAGAGUAGCACAAUUCUGAUCGGACAAAUACAAAUUUACCGGACUUAAAAUUAAGAAGUCAAAUUUUGUGCACAAAUCCUGAUUGGACUCCGAUUCAUUCCGACAAAAAAAAGCUACAAUUCUACUCCAAUUCGGACUCCCAAACGAGACAGCUCAAGGCUGGCGGCAGAGGCAGUAAUCCGGCGGCAGCGACGCGGGAGAGACCUUCGCGAUCUGAGGCGGCGACGGGGACGUCAGCCGCCGUCCCUCCCAGACGUCCCAGCGCCCGAUCAAAGCCUCCGGCCAGCACACGCUUCUGAUCAGCAAACGGACGAAACCAACUCUGAUUUCUGAAUCAAAUCUAUUUCCAGAUCGAGCGAAAUCCCUGCUGUAUAAAGCGCAAUGACACCACGACUCUGAUUCCUGAAACUGAAAGGGACUAGCCGAUUGCUAGAUCUCUUGGUUCCCUGCUGCACAAAACCCAGCCACCAAGACAGAAGGAUCAAUACACCUGGAGAGUAAAAGAAAACCAGAAAAACAAACACAUAUGGCCGCGAAAUCCGACGACCACUCGCUGCCGCCGGGCUUCGGCACGAGGCCAUGGCUGGUGCAGGGAUCACGCGGCGACACGCUGACUUUCGUCGAUGUGUCAGACCUCAGCCUGCACGAGACCGUUGUUCCUGAGGUUCGAGGGAAGACGUGCUUGGGCGGCAUGCACGGUGACUGGCUGCUGAUGCUGCACGAGUCUACUGCCGAUUGCUUCCUCCUACGCAUCAGCACCAAUCCACGGACCAAGAUUCAGUUGCCGCCGUUGCAUCAGCCUCUGAAUUUUCUAUCAACAAUCAAGAUGCUCGAGUCACCGGAUAGCCCGAAGUGCACCAUCUUAAUUGCCAGCUCACCGGAGGUGGAAGAAGAGAGCUACCUUCUAUACUGCCGCCCCGGUGAAGACGAGUGGACCAAACUGGUUUCCCCGUUCAAUGACAUCCAUCUCUCUGCUUUUAUGUGCAACUACGAAGGAAAGAUCUGUUCUGCUUGUUCUAAUCUCGUAGUGAUAGAUAUGGUGGAUGGUAAGAUACAACUACAGCGAGUGGGUACCAUCAAGGAUGAAGAAAAAUAUGCCCGUGGAAGUGGUUGUUACCAUGUUGUCGAGUCAUGUGGAAAGUUGUUUCUCUUGUGGAUAGAAGAGCUCGGGUGCUUUGGGAACGAUGGAUUGCUCACCGCCAUUGAUGUUUUUUGCUUGGAUCUUGAGUUGAUGUCAUGGGAGAGGGUGGAGAGCAUUGGCAGCGACCGUACCUUUCUUAUCUCUGAAAAUUACACUUUCUCAUGUCCUUCAAUAGAAGGUGUAUUGCAAGGAAACUGUGUUUAUCUUGUAUGGUCAAGCUGCGACAGUGAGAGGCUUUAUAAGUUCUGCUUGGACGACAUGACCAUUAGCUUCCAACAGAUUCUUUCUCAACCUACAAAACCCUGGUGUAGAGCAUUUUGGACUGUUCCAGCAAGGUGAGUUGAUUCAGCACACACGACUAUUUUUUAGCAUUGUCUGCAAUAGUUUUUUUUUUCCAAAAAGACCACAUUUUACUGAAUCAUGUAUGAGUAUGACUAUUGUUAAUAUGCAACUACAGCAUCGAAUCAAUCUUGCCCAUGGAAAUAUCAGACAAGCCAAAUAGUCUUCUAUCGACAAAGGUUUGUAAAUCCGUGCAAGUAUGUUGCAGUGAAAAACUAAUUCCCUUUAUACUAGUAAAUACGGAGUAGUAACUAAAACUAUUCUUUUUUCUUCUUUUUAGCUGUCAAAGGAUAUUCUACUCAAUGACCUUGAUGAGCACGAUGGACUGGGGAAUUCUUUAUGUCUAUGGGAACAUCUACCAGUAGACUUGCUAGAGUUAAUUGUCUCAAACUUAUCCUUGGUAGACCGCAUACGAUUUCCAACUGUUUGCAUGGCAUGGAGCAAGGUGUCGAAUCCAAUAGAGCAAGCAAAAGUUUGGCCUUGGCUAAUGCACAUCUCUAAGCAAGAUGGGAUGUGUAGGUUGUUUGACCCUCUACGCGGUGAGGUGUACAACAUGCAAGUCUCAAUAUUUGACACUAAUGAAGAUCGACACAUUUUUCGCUCCUCCAAAGAUGGUUGGGUGUUCACAUCAGCUGGGAUCUAUGGUCACGAUAUAUUCAUCAUAAAUCCUUUCACUGAGGAUAUUGUGGAGCCUCCUAUGUUCGAACGUAGAUACCACUACAACGGUGUAUCCUUUUCUUCACCAAAUCCAAUGUGUCCAAACUGUUAUUUUUUUGGGAUCAACAGUAGUCUCAGCGGGAAGUUUCUCAACAUUCAUACGUGGCGGCAUGAAGAAACUGAAUGGAUCGAGCAACGCUUUGAGUACGAUGUGCCAUUCCCAGUAGGUUACAAUAACCCCGUCAUGUUUUGUGGGAAGUUCUACUGCCUCGGAAGGAAGGGCAACCUUGGUGCCUUUGAUCCAACAAGCAAUACUUGGGAGAUUCUUGACAAGCCAGAGCCGAUCCAUGUUGAGAUGGAUCUCUUACAAAAUGAUCAUAGGGGAAGAGAGUUCUGCUACUUGGUUGAUUUAGAAGGAGAACUGAUAUCUGUACUCUUGCAUAAUGCCAGUGAGGCGCCUCGAGUGUUCAAACUUGAUUUGACAAAAAUGUCCUGGGUUGAAGUAGAGGACAUUGGUGGUGGUGCCUUGUUUCUUGAUCACAGGACAUCGCAUGGUGUAGGAUCUCCCGAUGGUGGUCAUGGAAAUAGGAUAUACUUCCCUAGAUAUUCUGUGGAUAGAAAACCAGUGUUCUAUGAUAUGGAUAACAAGAUGUACUACCCAUCAUUUUAUGGUCACAUUGAGCCAUUGAACUGUGUGUGGGUUGUGCCUAAUCUGCACAAAAAUGAAUCAACAUCCGAAGAUUGACCCAAGCGUGUGUAAUUGAGCAUAUAGUGCUUCUUUUUUUUCUUUUUUUUUUUUGCAAAUUGUCAAAUAUGGAACCACGAGUACCUCUAUUUGCCUCAAUCGUAUUGCUCCACAAAUAUGGUUUUUACCUGUUUUUACAUGAUCUCUGCUAGACUGCUACAGUAAGUUGCAGGUUUUACAAUUCAUGUACGGGGUCAAGUGUGGUAUAAUUCUUCCUUGAUGAUAUGCUAUAAUUGGAUCUCGUUGCAGCAGCUAUUUUUGUGCUGUUAGAGAUAUUGGAGUUACUUUAAUUAUUGUGUGCAUGGUGCCACACGCUGCACAUAUUCAGGCGUUCUUGAAUGGCGCCACACGUUUAGGCGUAGUUGAAUGAUAUGAAGAUUUAGCAAAACUAUCGAUAUCCUACGAUAUUUGGAUAGUGAUAACUUGCUAGUUCUUGUGGGAAUCAAGCAAUCCAUGGUAUGAAAAUUUUGCUUGAACCAUCAAGCAAUUAGGAAAAACUGGGGCAAGAUUUCACAGGUUGUGAAAUAUAUUUUGUCAAAUCAGGUUUUAGAGCAGGAAAUAUAUGAGAUAAAUCUGUAGGGGCUUGAAAUUGAAAUGUUGAUUGUUCGCCGUGAUUUUACAGCAUAAGAAAUAUAAUGCUGCUAGAAAUUUGAUGAAAAGUCAGGGAUUAUAACUACCAAGCAAUCAGAACAAGGUCUUGCAAAUUACAUGCUUGCUUCUCAUAAAGUGUCCAUGAUUCUCAGAUGGGUUAUCACAAAGAGAUUUGCUCCGGUCCGGCAAAAAGUAUCUCAAGAUACUGGUACCUCAUUGUACUAAAUCAUUUUCGGUCGUUGGAUCUAGCUGGGUAGAAUGAGAAUUGUUAAAUCUAACAGUCGGAAACGAGGUACCAUAAGGUACCGGUAUUUCGAGAUAUUUUUUUUGUUGGACCGGAUCGGAGCAAACCUCUAUCACGAAACAUAUACUGUUCAGGUGAACCAUUGAUGCACUGCUUUUCUUGAAAGGAAACUCCCAUUUUUUUUAACUGAACUUCUCAUCGAUGCACAAUUAUACUUACUCCCGUUUAUUACCCGAACUUGUCAAUAUACCAACUGAGCCAUAAUCCAUAAAUAUACCGGCGCCCAAUUGAUGCAUAUUUUUCUCCGUUGCAAUGCACCAACAUCCAAGUAGUAAUUCAGUAUUCCUUGCAGAAAAAAUAGUACUCCCUCUGUUUCAGGUUAUAAAACGUUUUGACUUUAGUCCAAGUCAAACUACUCUAAGUUUGACUAAUUUUAUAAAAAAAAAUAUAAUAUUUUUAACCCAAGAUAAAUAUAUUAUGAACAUUUAUUUUUAUUCAAUUAUAGAUUUAAUGAAACUAUACUGGUGUUGUAAAUAUUACUAUUUUUUUCUAUAAAAUUAGUCAAACUUAGAGUAGCCAUCUUAUAACCUGAAACGGAUGGAGUAAUUCAGUAUUAAAUAUGAAGGGGAUUUUUGGAGUACAUUAAAGUGGACACUAGCUAUUUAUUGGGUUAGAUCCAACGGAGAUGCUGUCCUACUGCACCCGGUAGUAGUGCAGUAGAAUUGGUGGAGGGGUAAAUUUGUACUCCAUGUGGUAUGGGUAUGUUUGUGUUAGAUUGAUCUCUGGCCAUCGAGUCAGAGAAUUGCUCUAAUGGGCUUGGCCCACCCCAAGCCCACGCGCACCUAACGUUAAGGACCGAUUCCCUCGGUCCCGAAUACACGUCGCUCUUUCUAGCGCUAUGAUCGGAAGCGUUUUUUUCCUCAAGAAGAAAUCGCCCCCGAUCCCCUUAAUACGCAUAUAAAGGGAACCUUGACUCACGGGUACGAGGGUCUACUCACACACUCUAAGCCUUCCCAAAACCCCUAAGAUUACCCUCAGACUAUCGAUCUUAAGGCGUAUUGGAGGGGAGCGAAGGGCGAAUUCCCAUCGCCGCCACCGCACGGUGAUCUCCAUCACCGGCUCCUCACGGCGACUACACCAACGCAUCUAAGGCGAUCAAUGGCUUCUUCAUCCGGUUAGUAUACCACCAAAUUCCGCAUAUGAGAUAUUAGGUGAUCAUGCAUAGCCUAGGUUUAUGAAUUUAAGAUUUAAGUACAAUAUUGUGGUAUCAGAGCCUUCUUAGGCCUUUGCAUGUUCCAUCACUCCGGUGGUGAAGCCACUAAGCCGCAUCAAGUCUCCCUAAGCGCCGGCUUGUUAAAGUUUUAGGGUUUAUGUUCUGUUAGGUUUUGUUCAUGUCGCAAUUAAGUUCAAUUUUGUGAUUCAUGUUCUGUUGAUCGAUAUUAGACUAAGUUUUAUGUUUAGAUUGCUAUCCCUACUCAGUUUAUGGCUUGGGCAGCAAUUGGAAGGAGGGGACUCAGAUCGGGGUUGAGAUUAAGAAAAUCCCCAAUUUUUUUCCCCAAGUUCCUAAAACCCGAAACCCUAAUUUCUGAAAUUUCCCCAAAUUAAGAACAAAGCAUGAUGAAUUCUCGAAUUAGAUUGAUCCCGAUUGGCAAUUUCCCAAAUCAUGAGAAAACCCUAAGGAAUUGGGACUCACCGAUUUGGGGCUCAGGUCGUCGGAGUCUCGCCGCGCGUGGCAUGAGCACCGCCGUGCGCGUGUGUCUCCGAGCUCCUCACUGUCUUCAUGCGAAUGGCGCAUGGCUUCACGCGUCGCCGUGCAUCCCCUUAGCCGCCAUCUCGGACCGGCCUCACGCUCGCAUCAGUCCAUCGCCGCGUGAGGUCGAGGCUCGCCUCGGUGUGGCUCCGGCCGCACCUAGGAGGAGGACCGAGGCGGGAGGAUGAGACGACGUGCGGCAUCAGCGUCGCCGCACGUCGCCAUCAAGCACGCCGCCGACUGGGGCCUCCGCAUCGCCGCUCCACCGGUGACCCACCGCCGUUAGCUUGCACGGAUUUUGCUCCGCCGGUGCGCCGUGGUUUUGACCGCCGCCUAAGCCGUGCGUGGCAUUAGCUUGCCGCGCAUGCGGGGGCCUCAGCGACGCCGCUCCGCCGGCGAGCCACCCGCCGCCCGUCUCUUCCCACCAGAGCCGUGCACGGCAUUAGAGCGCCGUGCACGGGGGCCUCGGCGUCGCCGCUCUGCCGGUGAGCCGCCGCCCCGCUCUCGCCUCUUCCCACCGGUGUUCGUAGAUGUCUCGACAUCACCGGAACAGCAUGUGGGUUGAUUCGUGUUGCCGCGAAUCGCGUGGAACGGCGGCGCUACUACCAACCACUGCCGCGACGCCGUCACCGCCGCCGCUGCCCCAACCCACCCCACCACCGUGCCGCCACCGCCGCCGCCGCCGUCCCCACCGUUGUGCUACCGUAGAGAGUUAGGUUUGGGGAUGGAUCCUUUUGAAUCGGGGUCCUGUGCUGUUGAACAAUUUGAGGGCUGAGAUGCUAAAGUUUGUCACUAGGCGGGGUGUUUCCUGAACAUUUCAACAUGGGGUGACGUGGACUUAUCUGGAACCUACAUUUUCCAUCCAAGUGUGGUUUCUAUGUUUGCACUGGAGAUGGUGUUUCCACUAUAUAUCUUCUCGACCAACGUGGCCUAAAUCAUAAAGGAAGUUGGUUGGUGCGCAUACUCAACCGAUGCAUGCAUCCGAACCUAGCUCGGUCAACUCGACAACUCGACGCUGGGCUGCGGUGCGCGCGACCGAAC
rnacentral:lncRNA from 1 species